rnacentral:rRNA from 1 species
AUGCAAGUCGAGGGGAAACGAUAUUGGAAGCUUGCUUCCGAUAGGCGUCGACCGGCGCACGGGUGAGUAACACGUAUCCAACCUGCCUCAUACUCGGGGAUAGCCUUUCGAAAGAAAGAUUAAUAUCCGAUAGCAUAUAUUUCCCGCAUGGGUUUUAUAUUAAAGAAAUUCGGUAUGAGAUGGGGAUGCGUUCCAUUAGUUUGUUGGCGGGGUAACGGCCCACCAAGCCGACGAUAUCUAGGGGUUCUGAGAGGAAGGUCCCCCACAUUGGAACUGAGACACGGUCCAAACUCC